rnacentral:snRNA from 1 species
GGAUGUGAGGGCGAUCUGGCUGCGACAUCUGUCACCCCAUUGAUCACCAGGGUUGAUUCGGCUUAUCUGGCUGGCUAGGCGGGUGUCCCCUUCCUCCCUCACCGCUCCAUGUGCGUCCCUCCCGAAGCUGCGCGCUCGGUCGAAGAGGACGACCUUCCCCGAUAGAGGAGGACCGUUCUUCGGUCAAGGGUAUACGAGUAGCUGCGCUCCCCUGCUAGAACCUCCAAACAAGCUCUCAAAGUGGCUCCUACACAAUGGCUUUGUUAAUAUGACUGCCUCAAAACAUCAUGCCAAGAGAAUAGGACUCCACAGAGAUUUGGAUUCUGGUU